ensembl:lncRNA
GGAUCGAUCGCAGGACCUUGUGCUUGUGAGGCAGGCGUGGUGCCACUGAGCUAAUACCCCGGUCGCUUGCAGUGUGUUUUGAAGGAAAGAUGUGUCCUGUUGGUUUGCCAUUGUCCUGCUUGCUCAGUCACAGUUACAUUGGUACGAAGCAUAAGCACAGAGCUCAGUGGACCCAUGAUGCAUGAGAGCUUAGCCAGACUCAGAGUGAGGACAAAGGCAGUGCUCUGAUAGCUUGGCCAGCAGGAAAGGCUGAGAGCCAUGUGUGAGGGCAGAAGGAGGAGGCACUAUGAGCCAGCCUGUACCGUGGUUCCAGGGACCGCUCGGUUUCCGCGCCUUCAUCUAGGACACGGACCGCUCUGGCCCCUUCCCACUGGGCUCAGCGCAGCCUCCAGCCAAACCUAUUCCAACCAAGGUGGUGACAGAGACUCCAAAAAAACUAAAAUAGUCAUCUUUCAAGGUUAACAAGGAGCUACUCAGAAGCCUCAGCAUGACUGUCAAUAGCCAAUCAAAGGGAGCUGUCAGCUGCUCCCCUGAGGAAGGGUUUCAGUUAAUGAAGAGAGCAGGGCUGGGGUGGCUGCAUAUGGAGAAGAACCAGCUGUUUGAUAUCCUGCUUUGGAGCCCAAAGCUGAAGGUGAAGGAUGUGGGGUGCUGCAAUUCCCCCAAGCAGAACAGACCAGAAAGGGCCCAGUGGGAUGUCUGCAACCAGGGAAAACUUGCUACAAUCUGGGGCUCAUUCAGUGAAAUCCAUUGUCCUCUCCCCAAGAGAGGGGUACUCAAUUAAAUUUCUCCUGAGGUCUUUUUUCUCCCCCAGUGACCUUUUUCUUGAAAGAUUUUUCUUUUCUCAGAUACUGCAAGGUUAACUCAGAUGAAUAUUAUGGGAUCACAUUUAUGCAAUGUCCUUUACUGAACAUGCGCCUCAGUUUCCUUGUUUAUAAAAUGAAGGAGUGGGCAAAUACAAAAGGGUUGCAUAACACUCUGCCCCAAAAGAAUAUCAUGAGGGUUUUUUUUUUUAAGAGCUAUGGAAACUAAUUAAAAUUAAAAGAGUUUUCCUUCAGAUUCCCAAAUAAACUUCCUUCCUCAAGUGCAGUGUCAGAAGGGAAGAGGCUACUAUUUGGCUACGAUUGCUAACAGACAAUCUGCAGAGAAAGCAGAACCUCACAACUCCUUUUACUUUCAUCUUGUCAGCCAAGAAGACUGAUGUGUCUGGGAAGGUGGGGUAAACACAGGUAGGAAUGCACGGAAGCCCAUGAUGGGUGCAGAGAUAGUGAGAAUACCCCCAAACAAGCUCAAGUCUUCAGUCCUCAACAAAUUACUUCAAGACAGGUGGGACUGGGAACCACAAUCUCUAAUCUUGCAGAAAUAGUGUAAAAAAGAGGUGCCAAGUGCCUGGAGAUAACCACUUUUGUCCCAAUUUUCAAAGAGAGGUAAAAACUACGUUCUGGAAACUGGAGGCUGGUGAGCUUCAUAUUAACUCCCACAAAAUUCUCAACUGUUCUGUUAAAGAGACAACUGGAAGGAAAAUAUUUAGUAAGGAAAAUAAGAAUCAUCAGAAGCUGGCCUGAAUUCAUUAAUAUAAGUUUAUUUCAGGGAUAGUUCUGAUAUCACAUCAAGUUGGAAGAGAAAAGCAGGAUAAUUUGUAAAGUAUUUUUUAAUAAAGAUUUUGUUUGUUUACCUCUACCAGAAUAUAAGCUUCCUGAGGGCAGAAUUUUGGGGG